UACGUAGGCAGCGAGCGUUGUUCGGAGUUACUGGGCGUAAAGGGUGUGUAGGCGGUUGUUUAAGUUUGGUGUGAAAUCUCCCCGGCUCAACUGGGAGGGUGCGCCGAAUACUGAGCGACUAGAGUGCGGGAGAGGAAAGUGGAAUUCCGGGUGUAGCGGUGGAAUGCGUAGAGAUCCGGAAGAACACCGGUGGCGAAGGCGGCCGCUGGGCUGAUGGCGUGACACUGAGGCGCGACAGCGUGGGGAGCAAACAGG
rnacentral:rRNA from 1 species